rnacentral:misc_RNA from 1 species
AACAAGGCGUACCUGCGGACCUGCGGAAGGAUCAUUACACAAUAAACAUAUGAAGGCUGCACCGCCAACAGGCGGCAAGGCUGGAGUAUUUUAUUACCCUUGUCUUUUGCGCACUUGUUGUUUCCUGGGCGGGUUCGCCCGCCUCCAGGACCACAUGAUAAACCUUUUUUAUGCAGUUGCAAUCAGCGUCAGUACAACAAAUGUAAAUCAUUUACAACUUUCAACAAUGGAUCUCAGAUC